UACAGAGGGGGCAAGCGUUAUUCGGAAUUAUUGGGCGUAAAGGGCGCGUAGGCGGCCUGGCAAGUGGAAGGUGAAAUCCCUCGGCUUAACCGAGGAACUGCCCUCCAAACUGCUUGGCUUGAGUCCAGGAGAGGUGAGUGGAAUUCCCCAGUGUAGCGGUGAAAUGCGUAGAUAUUGGGAGGAACACCAGUGGCGAAGGCGGCUCACUGGACCGGAACUGACGCUGAGGCGCGAAAGCGUGGGGAGCAAACGGG
rnacentral:rRNA from 1 species